AUUGAACGCUGGCGGCAGGCCUAACACAUGCAAGUCGAGCGGAUGAAGAGAGCUUGCUCUCUGAUUUAGCGGCGGACGGGUGAGUAAUGCCUAGGAAUCUGCCUGGUAGUGGGGGAUAACGUUCCGAAAGGAACGCUAAUACCGCAUACGUCCUACGGGAGAAAGCAGGGGACCUUCGGGCCUUGCGCUAUCAGAUGAGCCUAGGUCGGAUUAGCUCGUUGGUGAGGUAAUGGCUCACCAAGGCGACGAUCCGUAACUGGCCUAAGAGGAGUAGCAGUCAGAGUGUAACUGGGAAACGGGCCAGAUUCCUGCGGGUAGUAGCAGUGGGGAAGAUUGGACAAUGGGUGAAAGCCUGAACCAGCCAUGCCGGGGGUGUGAAGAAGGUCUUCGGAUUGGAAAGCGCUUUAAGUUGGGAUGAAGGGCAGAAAGUUAAUACCUUGCUGUUUUUACGUUACCGACAGAAUAAGCACCGGCUAACUUCGUGCCAGCAGCCGCCGUAACAC
rnacentral:rRNA from 1 species